CUUGUAGGCGGUCUGUCGCGUCUGCUGUGAAAAUCCGGGGCUCAACCCCGGACUUGCAGUGGGUACGGGCAGACUAGAGUGUGGUAGGGGAGACUGGAAUUCCUGGUGUAGCGGUGGAAUGCGCAGAUAUCAGGAGGAACACCGAUGGCGAAGGCAGGUCUCUGGGCCACUACUGACGCUGAGAAGACGAAAGCAGUGGGGAGCGAACA
rnacentral:rRNA from 1 species